AUACUUACCUGGAUGGGGUCUAUGGGUGAUCAAGAAGGCCCAUGGCCUAGAGUGAUGACCUCCAUUGCACUUUGGAGGGGUGUCAAUCUAAGGUCUACCCAAGUGGUGGAGCCUACAUCAUAAUUUGUUGCAGUGGGGGCCUGCGUUCGCGCGGCCCCUUC
rfam:Cicer arietinum chromosome Ca7, whole genome shotgun sequence.